rnacentral:lncRNA from 7 species
GAGAAAUGCAUCUAAUCCAGGCUGGAGACAUCUGAAAAUCCCUACCAUAUGUGCAAAUGGAAGCAGAUUUCAAAGGUCUACAAGAACCAACUUCUCCCCUUGGACAUGAAGUACAGAUGCCACCUCCCCUGAUUCCAUCUUGCAGAAACAAAAUGAGCUUCUGAUGAGGAAGAGCUGGCAGGAAAAUGAAAUGUAAACGGGCAAAGGGGAGAACAACCAAAAGCAAGAGUUGCUUUAUUUUUCCUGAGGCUGCACAUGCGUGAUCAGCCAACAAAGUGGGUCAGAGAAUGCUUUCAUAACAUUUCAAGCUUUCCACAUGGUCCCAGAUGGGGAAUGGAGUUGUUUCUUACAUGGAAGAAUGUUGAUCUUCCUCAAUUUUUAAGUGCAAGAGAUGAUAGCCUUCACAAUUUCAUUCCAGCCCAAACCUCAGGCAUGUGGCUCAUGCAGGUGAUUGGAAGAGGAAUUCCAGCUGAACCUUUCUGCAAGCCCAGGUCAUUUCUGCAGCCUUUCAACACGCACUUUUCCAAGCCCUUCUGUGUCUCCCAGACGCAUAUAAGAUGCAUCCUACCCUCUGCUGCAGUUAUUUCAGGGAGCUCUCUGUCACCAGCUUGGUUAUUUUCGCUUGCCAAACCCACUUGGCUGGUCCAGUUUAGCCCAGGGCACCCACUUUCUUGGGAUAUCCAAUUUCCCCAGCUGCCCAUACUCGGGCUUUCACUGAAGACAGGGCAUUGCAUAGAAGAAAGCUGCAUAAACCACCAGCCAGAUAAAACCAGGCUGAAAAUCAGAGCAGGAAGUGUUUAUGACACCUAUCUUUCUUCCUGUCAGAGACAGCCAACUACUUGCCUGCUAACAGCCUACAUUGGUAGACCAUAAAACUUACAGUAGAUCAGGCGCUGUUUUCUGGCACACACACAACCAUCUAUAAAUACUGCUCCAGGAGGGAGCAAAACAGGUAUUGUCUCUUAAUGCUCCCAUUAAACACAGCCACACAGAUGGCAAUUAAUGCAUCAUGAUGUGCCUGAAUUGUAAGAAGAAAUUGCUGCAACAAGAAAUCAGUGCAAGAACAGCAGGAUUCAGAUGGGCAUUCAUUUUGAGAUCAACUCUUUUUUUCCUUCCCUUGAAGAGUGAGGAAACAGCUACUCCACAUUAUGGAAGAUUUAUUCAUCUGUUUACCUGAGUUUUGGGUCAUAAUAGAGCUUUGUUAUCUUUAAUAGAUUCAU